UCGGAAUCCCCCUGUGUGCCAGCGCCUCUGACGCCAGCAGGAGCUUCUCUGAGACCGUGUGAAUCUUUUCCAGUAAGAUAGGAUACCGGGCCUCGGGGUUUGGCGAAUGCCUGCCUGUGAGCAUGCUGCUUGGGGUGAACCUCCUCAUACAGGAGGCGGCUCUUGCAGCUGGAAUACAGCAUUCUCUCCUUCACACUGCAGCGGUAGCCCGGCAUCGAGUAGAUGAACACUGAGAACA